rnacentral:rRNA from 1 species
AUUGAACGCUGGCGGCAUGCCUUACACAUGCAAGUCGAACGGUAACAGGUCUUCGGAUGCUGACGAGUGGCGAACGGGUGAGUAAUACAUCGGAACGUGCCUAGUAGUGGGGGAUAACUACUCGAAAGAGUGGCUAAUACCGCAUGAGAUCUACGGAUGAAAGCAGGGGAUCGCAAGACCUUGUGCUACUAGAGCGGCCGAUGGCAGAUUAGGUAGUUGGUGGGAUAAAAGCUUACCAAGCCGACGAUCUGUAGCUGGUCUGAGAGGACGAUCAGCAACACUGGGACUGAGACACGGCCCAGACUCCUACGGGAGGCAGCAGUGGGGAAUUUUGGACAAUGGGCGAAAGCCUGAUCCAGCAAUGCCGCGUGCAGGAUGAAGGCCUUCGGGUCGUAAAGCCCUGUCGGAAGGAACGAAUGGUCCUGAAGUGAAUAAUUUCAGGAUUUGACGGUACCUUCAAAGGAAGCACCGGCUAACUCCGUGCCAGCCGCCGCCGUAA